rnacentral:misc_RNA from 1 species
UAUUUUUACCAGUAUUCAGACCCUUCUGGAAAAUACAUUACAUACCAGUGAUGCGUUUAAUCAUAAAAUGUGAACCUUCAUUAUAGCUAAUAGACCAAACUUUGGGAUGAUCUAGUCACAAACUUUAAUGAUUGUUAGAGAUUAUGACUUUUGAUUGUUGUUGUUUGUUAUUUUUAUAUGCAUUAGCUUCAGCUCUCUGAUAUGUAUUCUAGAACAUGUGUAACGUAGUAUUAAUUGCACCUCACUGAGAUAAAAAUCAGGAUGUUCCUGUUUUGUAUUUUGGGUUUUUUUUCCAAGUGUCGACAAUUACAGUACUAGUGCUCUUCUAUGCCCAUGUACAUGUAUAUAUACAUACAUAAAAUCAUUUUUUUUAAAAAUGGGUUGGCUGUGAAAAUACACAUACUAGCAGUCCAUGACUUGUUCUCUACUUAACUGUGUGAUAUUUCGUUUGAUUUUAGUCUACUUAGUACUUUCAUUUUGCACAUUUUUGUUUAAUUACUACGGUAUUAUUAUAUAUAGCAAUUUGAUUAAGCUGGUUUUAUUAAUUGUAAAAAGUUUAUGCUUGUUAUUGUUUCACUUUGGGAAAUUAAAGUUUGUUUACUU